rnacentral:rRNA from 1 species
GACAGAGGGUGCAAACGUUGUUCGGAUUUACUGGGCGUAAAGCGCGUGUAGGCGGCCUUGCAAGUUGGAUGUGAAAGCCCACGGCUCAACCGUGGAAGCGCAUCCAAAAACUGCAUCGCUCGAGUCUCGGAGAGGAAGGUGGAAUGCUUGGUGUAGAGGUGAAAUUCGUAGAUAUCAAGCAGAACACCUGCGGCGAAGGCGGCCUUCUGGACGAUGACUGACGCUGAGACGCGAAAGCGUGGGGAGCGAACAGG